ensembl:snoRNA LOC120098393 small nucleolar RNA SNORA17
CCCCUAGAAGCACUGCAGGUGUGGCUGCUGGGUCUCCUGUGUGUUAGUAGGUGACAAGAGACAUGUCUACCCUGAGGGUUCUGACCUGUGAACAUCAGAAUGAUUAGUAGCCUAACACU